GCCUCCUGCCAAACUCAAAGUAUAGGAGGUCUUGCCUGCCCAGUGACAAGUUAAACGGCCGCGGUAUUUUGACCGUGCAAAGGUAGCGCAAUCACUUGUCUUUUAAAUGAAGACCCGUAUGAAUGGUGAAACGAGGGCUUAACUGUCUCCCCUCUCAAGUCAAUGAAAUUGAUCUGCCCGUGCAGAAGCGGACAUGUAAAUACAAGACGAGAAGACCCUUUGGAGCUUAAGAUAUAAGACCAACUAUGUUAAUAAAACCAAAAAUCAAAUUAAACUAAAUAGCACCUGGUCCUCAUCUUCGGUUGGGGCGACCACGGAAGAAAAUAAAGCUUCCAUGCGGACUGGGGCUUUAAGCCCUAAAACCAAGAAAGACAUUUCUAAGUAACAGAACAUCUGACCACUAAGAUCCGGCAACCAAAGCCGAUCAACGGACCAAGUUACCCUAGGGAUAACAGCGCAAUCCCCUUUAAGAGUCCAUAUCGACAAGGGGGUUUACGACCUCGAUGUUGGAUCAGGACAUCCUAAUGGUGCAGCCGCUAUUAAGGGUUCGUUUGUUCAACGAUUAAAGUCCU
rnacentral:rRNA from 1 species